rnacentral:rRNA from 1 species
CCCCGGCGAGGGGAGUGAAAAAGAACCUGAAACCGUGUACGUACAAGCAGUGGGAGCACGCUUAGGCGUGUGACUGCGUACCUUUUGUAUAAUGGGUCAGCGACUUAUAUUCUGUAGCAAGGUUAACCGAAUAGGGGAGCCGAAGGGAAACCGAGUCUUAACUGGGCGUUAAGUUGCAGGGUAUAGACCCGAAACCCGGUGAUCUAGCCAUGGGCAGGUUGAAGGUUGGGUAACACUAACUGGAGGACCGAACCGACUAAUGUUGAAAAAUUAGCGGAUGACUUGUGGCUGGGGGUGAAAGGCCAAUCAAACCGGGAGAUAGCUGGUUCUCCCCGAAAGCUAUUUAGGUAGCGCCUCGUGAAUUCAUCUCCGGGGGUAGAGCACUGUUUCGGCAAGGGGGUCAUCCCGACUUACCAACCCGAUGCAAACUGCGAAUACCGGAGAAUGUUAUCACGGGAGACACACGGCGGGUGCUAACGUCCGUCGUGAAGAGGGAAACAACCCAGACCGCCAGCUAAGGUCCCAAAGUCAUGGUUAAGUGGGAAACGAUGUGGGAAGGCCCAGACAGCCAGGAUGUUGGCUUAGAAGCAGCCAUCAUUUAAAGAAAGCGUAAUAGCUCACUGGUCGAGUCGGCCUGCGCGGAAGAUGUAACGGGGCUAAACCAUGCACCGAAGCUGCGGCAGCGACACUGUGUGUUGUUGGGUAGGGGAGCGUUCUGUAAGCCUGCGAAGGUGUGCUGUGAGGCAUGCUGGAGGUAUCAGAAGUGCGAAUGCUGACAUAAGUAACGAUAAAGCGGGUGAAAAGCCCGCUCGCCGGAAGACCAAGGGUUCCUGUCCAACGUUAAUCGGGGCAGGGUGAGUCGACCCCUAAGGCGAGGCCGAAAGGCGUAGUCGAUGGGAAACAGGUUAAUAUUCCUGUACUUGGUGUUACUGCGAAGGGGGGACGGAGAAGGCUAUGUUGGCCGGGCGACGGUUGUCCCGGUUUAAGCGUGUAGGCUGGUUUUCCAGGCAAAUCCGGAAAAUCAAGGCUGAGGCGUGAUGACGAGGCACUACGGUGCUGAAGCAACAAAUGCCCUGCUUCCAGGAAAAGCCUCUAAGCAUCAGGUAACAUCAAAUCGUACCCCAAACCGACACAGGUGGUCAGGUAGAGAAUACCAAGGCGCUUGAGAGAACUCGGGUGAAGGAACUAGGCAAAAUGGUGCCGUAACUUCGGGAGAAGGCACGCUGAUAUGUAGGUGAAGUCCCUCGCGGAUGGAGCUGAAAUCAGUCGAAGAUACCAGCUGGCUGCAACUGUUUAUUAAAAACACAGCACUGUGCAAACACGAAAGUGGACGUAUACGGUGUGACGCCUGCCCGGUGCCGGAAGGUUAAUUGAUGGGGUCAGCGCAAGCGAAGCUCUUGAUCGAAGCCCCGGUAAACGGCGGCCGUAACUAUAACGGUCCUAAGGUAGCGAAAUUCCUUGUCGGGUAAGUUCCGACCUGCACGAAUGGCGUAAUGAUGGCCAGGCUGUCUCCACCCGAGACUCAGUGAAAUUGAACUCGCUGUGAAGAUGCAGUGUACCCGCGGCAAGACGGAAAGACCCCGUGAACCUUUACUAUAGCUUGACACUGAACAUUGAGCCUUGAUGUGUAGGAUAGGUGGGAGGCUUUGAAGUGUGGACGCCAGUCUGCAUGGAGCCGACCUUGAAAUACCACCCUUUAAUGUUUGAUGUUCUAACGUUGACCCGUGAUCCGGGUUGCGGACAGUGUCUGGUGGGUAGUUUGACUGGGGCGGUCUCCUCCUAAAGAGUAACGGAGGAGCACGAAGGUUGGCUAAUCCUGGUCGGACAUCAGGAGGUUAGUGCAAUGGCAUAAGCCAGCUUGACUGCGAGCGUGACGGCGCGAGCAGGUGCGAAAGCAGGUCAUAGUGAUCCGGUGGUUCUGAAUGGAAGGGCCAUCGCUCAACGGAUAAAAGGUACUCCGGGGAUAACAGGCUGAUACCGCCCAAGAGUUCAUAUCGACGGCGGUGUUUGGCACCUCGAUGUCGGCUCAUCACAUCCUGGGGCUGAAGUAGGUCCCAAGGGUAUGGCUGUUCGCCAUUUAAAGUGGUACGCGAGCUGGGUUUAGAACGUCGUGAGACAGUUCGGUCCCUAUCUGCCGUGGGCGCUGGAGAACUGAGGGGGGCUGCUCCUAGUACGAGAGGACCGGAGUGGACGCAUCACUGGUGUUCGGGUUGUCAUGCCAAUGGCACUGCCCGGUAGCUAAAUGCGGAAGAGAUAAGUGCUGAAAGCAUCUAAGCACGAAACUUGCCCCGAGAUGAGUUCUCCCUGACUCCUUGAGAGUCCUGAAGGAACGUUGAAGACGACGACGUUGAUAGGCCGGGUGUGUAAGCGCAGCGAUGCGUUGAGCUAACCGGUACUAAUGAACCGUGAGGCUUAACCUUACAACGCCGAAGGUGUUU